GGUCGCCGACACUAGGUUCCGUCGCAGAGCCGACGUCAAAAUGAGAAAAUCGUCGAUCAAAGACAAAGUCCAGCAGCAUAGCCUAUAUAGAGCAGGUCGCCGACACUAGGUGCCGUCGCAGAGCCGACGUCAAAAUGAGAAAAUCGUCGACAGGAGACAAAGUCCAGCAGCAUAGCCUAUAUAGAGCAGGUCGCCGACACUAGGUCCCCUCGCAGAGCCGACGUCGAAAUGAGAAAAUCGUCG